UUUGGGAAAUGAUGAAAAAAAAAGAAAAAGAUAAAUACAGGUAAGCAGAAGGCUCCAAUGGGUGAGCUAUGCUGAAUGUUUUUGCACGUCAGUCUGAUCCCAAA